GUGUACGUACAAGCAGUGGGAGCACCCUUCGGGGUGUGACUGCGUACCUUUUGUAUAAUGGGUCAGCGACUUAUAUUCUGUAGCAAGGUUAACCGUAUAGGGGAGCCGGAGGGAAACCGAGUCUUAACCGGGCGUUAAGUUGCAGGGUAUAGACCCGAAACCCGGUGAUCUAGCCAUGGGCAGGUUGAAGGUUGGGUAACACUAACUGGAGGACCGAACCGACUAAUGUUGAAAAAUUAGCGGAUGACCUGUGGCUGGGGGUGAAAGGCCAAUCAAACCGGGAGAUAGCUGGUUCUCCCCGAAAGCUAUUUAGGUAGCGCCUCGUGAAUUCAUCUCCGGGGGUAGAGCACUGUUUCGGCUAGGGGGCCAUCCCGGCUUACCAACCCGAUGCAAACUGCGAAUACCGGAGAAUGUUAUCACGGGAGACACACGGCGGGUGCUAACGUCCGUCGUGAAGAGGGAAACAACCCAGACCGCCAGCUAAGGUCCCAAAGUCAUGGUUAAGUGGGAAACGAUGUGGGAAGGCCCAGACAGCCAGGAUGUUGGCUUAGAAGCAGCCAUCAUUUAAAGAAAGCGUAAUAGCUCACUGGUCGAGUCGGCCUGCGCGGAAGAUGUAACGGGGCUAAACCAUGCACCGAAGCUGCGGCAGCGAACGUAUCACCCAAGACAACUUUACGGAGUUGACGAUUGACGGAGCGAAGCGACGUCAAAGCGUUCAUUAAAGUCGAGUUGGCUUAGGGAUACGUUCGUUGGGUAGGGGAGCGUUCUGUAAGCCUGUGAAGGUGUGUCGUGAGGCAUGCUGGAGGUAUCAGAAGUGCGAAUGCUGACAUAAGUAACGAUAAAGCGGGUGAAAAGCCCGCUCGCCGGAAGACCAAGGGUUCCUGUCCAACGUUAAUCGGGGCAGGGUGAGUCGACCCCUAAGGC
rnacentral:rRNA from 1 species